rnacentral:rRNA from 1 species
UACGUAGGGUGCAAGCGGUAAUCGGAAUUACUGGGCGUAAAGCGUGCGCAGGCGGUUGUGCAAGACCGAGGUGAAAUCCCCGGGCUUAACCUGGGAAUGGCAUUGGUGACUGCACGGCUAGAGUGUGUCAGAGGGGGGUAGAAUUCCACGUGUAGCAGUGAAAUGCGUAGAGAUGUGGAGGAAUACCGAUGGCGAAGGCAGCCCCCUGGGAUAACACUGACGCUCAUGCACGAAAGCGUGGGGAGCAAACAGG